GCCACUUUAGCUUAGUGGUAGAGCGUCCGCUUUAUACGCAGAAGGUCGUCAGUUCUUUCCUGGCAAGUGGUU
rnacentral:tRNA from 1 species